rnacentral:tRNA from 1 species
GGGUGUGUAGCUCAGGUGGUUAGAGCGCAGUCCUGAUAAGACUGAGGUCCCCGGUUCGAGUCCAGGCACACCCACCA